UUCUUAUCGAGAGUGGCGGAGGGACUGACCCUAUGAAGCCCGGCAACCGGUUUAUAACACAAUCACACGGUGCUAAAUCCAGCAGAGCGGUGAUGCUCUGAGAGAUGAGGA
rnacentral:ncRNA from 2 species